AUUACCUCAUUAUAAGGAAAAUGAAUCAUUCUUCAAAGGCAAAAGGUACUGGUGCUCCAAAAUCAGAUAAACAACGCUCAGUAAAAAGCCACACAGCACGUUUGCCCCAGGUUCCAAAGGCAAAGGAGACACCAACACAAGAACAGUAGUCGAUGCCUGCAAAAUGAUGGGAAAAAAGAAAUUUUAUGAGCAAAUUAUGGAAGAUGAACGUCUUUUCCAGAAGUUCAAAGUAACUGACUAUGUAGAUAUCGUCACCACCCAAGAUUACAUUAUUCCAGUCUACUGGAUGAGAUCCCCAUAUCGUCUGGUGGCAAGAAUAACCUCUGGUGAAAAUUAAACCUCAAAAAUAUUCCCAGGACAAUGAUGAUGUAUGACAUAGUUAAUUAUGCAGAAUCUGGAAUAAAGUCUGCCCGUUUACAAAAAGAAAUGAAGUAUCUGUUACAGAGACCACGGACGGAAGAGAUGCGUCAGCACCAGCUACAGAUUGUUUCUGAAGUUAGGUGUCCAUCCUUAGUGAAUCUCCAGCCUUUAUAUCGGCCCUACCAACAGCAAAGUAAAAUGAGACAUUUGGGGCGUCGAUCCAAGCAAGCACAAAUGAAAGUUGAAAAGAUGAGAAAACCUUUUAUGACACCUAAGAAAAAAGAUGCUUCUGAGCAACCGCAAAAAGCCAUACCGCCUAAAAGGGUACAAGAGACAAUUGUCUUCUCCAGCCCGGCUUUUGACAUUGUGAAAUAUAAAGAAUGCACCUCAGAUAGUGAAUUGGGAGAAGAUGAAGAUGAACAGGAAGUAUUUGCCUGGUAUCAACAGUUGUGUCUUCAGUAUUUUCCAUGAUGUCAAUACACAGCUAAUUGAUAGGACACCAAUGUUGUUCAUCUGUCUAUAAAUAAAGGACAAUCAAAUAAAAACAAGUCCUUGGUCUGCUCUCUUAACCAA
rnacentral:lncRNA from 1 species